UAUUUAUCAGUGACAGAGUUCACUAUAAAUA
rfam:Cricetulus griseus cell line CHO-K1, whole genome shotgun sequence.